UACGGGGGGGGCAAGCGUUGUUCGGAAUUACUGGGCGUAAAGCGCGCGUAGGCGGAUCUGCAAGUCGGGGGUGAAAUCCCGAGGCUCAACCUCGGAACUGCCUUCGAUACUGCGGGUCUCGAGUCCGGGAGAGGUGAGUGGAAUUCCUAGUGUAGAGGUGAAAUUCGUAGAUAUUAGGAAGAACACCAGUGGCGAAGGCGGCUCACUGGCCCGGUACUGACGCUGAGGCGCGAAAGCGUGGGGAGCAAACAGG
rnacentral:rRNA from 1 species